UUCCUGCAUCAGGAACGCUAAGGCGCGUACCAACCGAGCAUAAAAGCCACGGUGGUUCAGAAUGCGGACGGUCGUCAAAAAAAUAAUUCCUU
rnacentral:ncRNA from 21 species